rnacentral:rRNA from 1 species
GAUGAACGCUGGCGGCGUGCCUAAUACAUGCAAGUCGAGCGAACAGACGAGGAGCUUGCUCCUCUGACGUUAGCGGCGGACGGGUGAGUAACACGUGGAUAACCUACCUAUAAGACUGGGAUACCUUCGGGAAACCGGAGCUAAUACCGGAUAAUUUAUUGCACCGCAUGGUUCCAUAGUGAAAGACGGUUUUGCUGUCACUUAUAGCUGGAUCCGCGCCGCAUUAGUUAGUUGGUAAGGUAACGGCUUACCAAGGCAACGAGGCGUAGCCGACCUGAGAGGGUGGUCGGCCACACGGGAACUGAGAAACGGUCCAGACUCCGACGGGAAGCAGCAGUAGGGAAUCUUCCGCAAGGGGCGAAAGCCUGACGGAGCAACGCCGCGUGAGUGAUGAAGGUGUUCGGAUCGUAGAACUCUGUUAGUAGGGAAGAACAAAUGUGUAAGUAACUAUGCACGUCUUGACGGUACCGAAUCAGAAAGCCACGGCUAACUACGUG